rnacentral:misc_RNA from 1 species
CUUAGUUUGUCAGUUGAAGAACAGAAUUCAUUGAGACGAGCCCUUAAACAGUACACUCCUCGUAUUGAAGUCGACUUAAUGAACUUUUUACAGAACAAGAAAGAGCGACAGCGCUCGAAGUCCUCUUAUGACCCAUCUGAUGUUGUUGGAACAUCUUCAGAGGAAGGAUAUAUUGGUGUGUCAAAGAGUCAGUUCUUUGGAAGGUAUUCUGCUGGUUCCAUUGAUGGUGAUGGUGGCAGGAAAUGGAGUUCUACCCAAGAAUCAACCCUGAUCACUAGCAUUGGCCAAGCAGCUUCUGAUGAAAAUCAGGAGAACUUGUAUCACGAUUUUGAGAAUGGUUCUAAUGUUGAUAUUCAUAGUUCAAAAACUAGGGAUUUUUCCUACAUGGUCAAUUCUACCAUACAGAAUGUGGGACCCCAGGCUGGCUGCCUUGAAAAUGUGGACAACAGCCUGAAUUUGGAGGGUUUGUCUACUCGUCAUCUGGACAUUAACGGACUGAUGAGUUCUGAAGCUUUGGUGGAUGCUGAAGGCAUUCAGCAUGAAAAUGAUGCCUCGCUUGACUUGGACCUUAAUCAUCAUAAGCCUGAAGCUGUAAAGAUCAACUCUUUUUCAGAUUCAGGUCCUAGCAUUCCCCAAAUUCUUC